CUCUUCUCAAAUUUCUUUAUCUCCUUCGUAUUUUUGGAGUCUUUCUUUGCAUCUAGCAACACCUGACCUAGUUCGUCAGCUGCUUCAUUUUUUGCAAAAUCUACUUCAGCCUCGCCCAUUUCAAAAUCUGCAAAGGUACAACCUUCAGCCCAGUCAGCUGGAUAGUUGUUAUCAUCAUCAUCUUCUUCACUGCCUUCCAUUAUAACUCCUCUUUCACCGUGCUUGGUCCAAAGAAUAUA
rnacentral:lncRNA from 1 species